GGAAUAUUGCACAAUGGGCGAAAGCCUGAUGCAGCGACGCCGCGUGAGGGAUGACGGCCUUCGGGUUGUAAACCUCUUUCAGUAGGGAAGAAGCGAAAGUGACGGUACCUGCAGAAGAAGCGCCGGCUAACUACGUGCCAGCAGCCGCGGUAAUACGUAGGGCGCAAGCGUUAUCCGGAAUUAUUGGGCGUAAAGAGCUCGUAGGCGGUUUGUCGCGUCUGCCGUGAAAGUCCGAGGCUCAACUUCGGAUCUGCGGUGGGUACGGGCAGACUAGAGUGAUGUAGGGGAGACUGGAAUUCCUGGUGUAGCGGUGAAAUGCGCAGAUAUCAGGAGGAACACCGAUGGCGAAGGCAGGUCUCUGGGCAUCUACUGACGCUGAGGAGCGAAAGCAUGGGGAGCGAACAGGAUUAGAUACCCUGG
rnacentral:rRNA from 1 species